rnacentral:lncRNA from 1 species
CUCUUUGAAUUACUAGUUUGGUGCAUUACUGACACUAAAAAGAGACCACCUCUCUUAGUCCUAUGGGAGGGGUACACAGUAGCUGAAAACCCUCCUGUGGGCAUUAUUAUCAGUCAUGAUGAUCAGAUCUAACCCUUAGUGAGUUUAAAUGAUUGUGAAAUAGAGGUGCUUACACUGGAUGAAAUGCUAGCAGUAAGAUGACUGGAGUCAUCCCCCAAUACAGGAUCAAGUGCUGGUGGAAUUCCAGCCAUCCCUACUCUUUGGAUAAUAGUCAGGAGAUGGGCUAACACUAAGAGCUGCUUUGGAAUAGCCUGAUGAAGACUCAUUUUCCCAGAACCCCCCCCCAGGCCACUGGAGUAGAAUUGUAGGCUAUAUUAGAGAGUAUUUUUGGACAUGCUUGCAUUAGCUUACAUUUGAUACAGUAUGUGUAUUGGUUCUAGUAGGCUACCUUAAAGAAACAUUCAUAAUCUGCUUGUAAAAUAAAUAUUAAAUUAUUAUUGACAUUUACCUCUUCUUUUGCUGUUCCCCUCCUCUCUUCUUUCUUUUCCCAUCCUUGUCUCUUUCUCUACUUCCUCAGGGAAUCCCUGGUGUUCAUGGGAAGAAGGGCAAGAUGGGUAGGCCGGGGUUUGCUGGGGACUUUGGCGAGCGGGGACCACCAGGACCAGACGGAAACCCAGUAAGUGAAACAGCAGAGAUGACUGUUCCCCCUGGCCAUCACUUCAGACCUAUGCUCAGAUAAUAUGUUUUCUUUCAAAUACUUAUGUUGUGCUCUAUUGAGCUUAACUGGCGCAAUGGAAUGAAUGGAAUAGUCCCAAAAGUGCAAAGCUCAUCCUUCUGGCACUCCAGGCAGGCUCAAUCAAACGCUGUUGAACAUUAAAAAAAAGCCAUUUGAGUUUCAGCCUUUAUUGAAGGUAUCUGUUGUUUGUUUUUAAAGUCACAGGUCUAGCCUUUUUGUUUUUGUAUCUUGGUUUGGAUUCAAUAAUUAGCCAGUGCAUUAUCUCCUGAAGUAUACACAACAAC